rnacentral:tRNA from 1 species
GGCCCUGUGGCCCAAUGGAUAAGUGGCCUUACUACGGAUCAGGAGAUUCCAGGUUCGAGUCCUGGCAGGGUCG